rnacentral:lncRNA from 1 species
CAUAAAGCGGCUUCAGUUGCGUCAAGAUUUGAAAGAUGGGAUUAGCGAAGGAACACUAAUACUACUAUCGAGCAAGAUCAACUCAACAAUAUAGUACAGCUAAUUCAAGGAAUAGCGUUGUCAGACCGAGAAGACAAGUGGUACCUGAUAAUGGACUCUUGGUACCUCCAUUGCAGCUGCAUUGCAUAUAAGAAGUGUGCAAAGUAA